rnacentral:rRNA from 1 species
CCACCUCAGCUCCGCAGACUGGGCCGCCGUCGCCGCGGCCGCCACCCCGUCCAAGACCGCCAGGCAGUGCCGCCACAAGGUCGAGAAGCUCCGCCGACGCCUCCGCUCCAAGCGCCGCCGCCCCUGCCCCAUCCUGGACGGCAUAGAUCUGCUCGACGACCCUUCGUCGUCCCCAUCACGCUCCCACUCCCCGUCCCCGCCGCCGCCGGCCUCCCCGCUUCCCCCCUCUCCCUCCCCGCCCAAGAAGAGGAAGCGGCCCGAUCCCGAUGAAGAAGGAUAUGCCGGGGAGAGCGACGUGGUGCAGGCGGUGAGGGCGAUCGGAGAGGGAUUCGUGCGCGCCGAGCUGAGGAGGAUGGAGGCGGCCAGGGAGUCGCAGCGGAUGCGCAUGGAGAUGGCGCUGCGGCACCUCGACGCGCAGCGCCGGCUCCUGGAAGGUCUCGUUGGCCGCAUCGUGGACGCGUUGGAAUGA